CAGAAAUGCAUGAAUGGUAAUUUUUAAAGAUGUGUCUUCAGCGAGAAACCUCGAAAUCAGACUCGUCAUCUAAGAAAUUCAUCA